ensembl:lncRNA
CUGUGAGGAGCCCGGGUGUUGACAAGAGAGCCUGGAAGCCUGUUGAGCAGGUGGCUGUGUAUUGGCCCCACCUGGUAUGCUUCACCCCUCAGAAGACUUUAGCUUCUGAAUCACUGGGGGCAGCAUCAUUCCUUUUCCCACAUAAUGGUCUUCCUCUCAAUGGCAGUUAAAAGAGGCCGACACCACAGGAGGUCUGCAGGAUUGCAUGUAAAACUUCUGAAAGAAGACUCCAGAUUUUUGUAGAUGGUUUCUAUCUUUGGGAUCCCCCAGAAGCAGACCCUAAAAUAAAGAUUUGGAUGGAGGGUAUUCAUUUCAGAGGUGAUUCCAGGAGACAUGGUGAGGGAGUAGGCAAAUGAGACAGAGAAAACAAAACCCCGGAAAGUUUGCAUUAAUGAGCAGGUUCCUGCUGUGGGCACCUGGGGUCUAAUCCCACUGUGGGUCCUCUGAGAAACUUCGGAGAACAUCCCUCAGAAUUGUGCCACCGGGAGACGAGGAAGUUAGGGUAUUUAUCUACAAACUUCUGCCCUCUUUGGUUGAAGGUGGAUCCCAGGUGUCAACUCCCUUGCACCUCCAGCCAGCCCUGUGCACAAGAAAAGGCCCUCAGACAGAAGCAGGAGACCUUCAGCAGUGGAGGGAAUUGUCGUCAGCUGAGUUCCAUGUUGGGCACCGUCAACGUUACUUAUUGUCUUCUUUCCGAGAGGCGUGAACAGAGAUCCUUUUCUAAUGUGCAGUUUAAAGAUAUGUAACACGUUAAUCUUUGGAAGCUUUGAAAAUUAAAUGUGUUUUUCCCACUCUCUUCUCCCACUGCUUCUCACGGUUAACUUAAUCUGGAGGAAGAUCCGCUCAUGGAAUCCUGAGCUGCUGUCACCAUGCACGGGUUUGUAGUCCUCUCCACAGGAAGCACUUGGCCCCUCAUGCCCUGAAUUUCCAGUUCUUCAUCGACAGACUGCAGCAGGAUGGCAUCGACAGAAAAAUUGGGCUCACAGGCCCACAGAAGAUCCACUCUUUCUCCCAAUCACUUCGGAAACAACUUUUUAGAGUCUUUGGAAAGAAAAAACAUUUAAUUUUUCCUUCCCAUUGAGAGGAAACUCUUUUUUAAAAAAUAAAAAUUGCUUAUAUUUAAGGUGUAUACCAUAGUGAUUUGAUAUACUUACACCUAACGAAGUGUCAUAGUGAAAUGUCCUGUCAAGCUAAUUAACACAGCAUCUCCUCACAGAGUUACCGAUUUGUGGUGUGUGUAUGUGGUGAGAGGGCCUGAAUCUACUCUUAGCAAAUUUCCAGUAUUCAGUACAGUAUUAUUAAACUAUAGUGACUAUUGGAUCUCUAGAUGUAUUCAUCCUACAUAACUGUAACUUUGUGCCUUUGACCAACAUCCCAUUUCCCCCACUUCGCCUCCCCUGGUAACCACCAUUCUACUCCCUGCUUCUGUAUAUUUAACCGUUUUAGAUUCCACAUAUAAGUGAGGUCAUGCAGCUUUUUCCUUUCUAUGUCUGGCUUAUUUCACUUAGCAUAAUGUCCUCCGUGUUGUUGCAAAUCGC